UACGAAGGGUGCAAACGUUGCUCGGAAUUAUCGGGCGUAAAGCGCGCGUAGGCGGCUUGGCAAGUCGGAUGUGAAAUCCCUCGGCUCAACCAAGGAAGUGCAUCCGAAACUGCUGAGCUUGAGUACUUAAGAGGAUCGCGGAAUUCCCGGUGUAGUGGUGAAAUGCGUAGAUAUCGGGAGGAACACCAGUGGCGAAGGCGGCUUCCUGGCCUGUUCUUGACGCUGAGGCGCGAAAGCUAGGGGAGCAAACGGG
rnacentral:rRNA from 1 species